UUCCCUCCUCAUAUUUCCGCCUCUACUCUCUCUCAUUUUCUCUCAAAUGGGAACCCCUCUCUCUCAAUCAUCCAUUCUCCAAUCUCUCAUCUCUAUAACCCUCUCUCCCUGCCACUCUCAAGAAAACGAUCAGUUUUUGAACUGCACUCAACCUCUCGACUGCGGAACAAAACAGGGAAAUGUCGCGUCCCCUUUAUGGGGAAACACUACAUCUUGGGAUCACGCUAGCUCUGGUUUCCCUUCUGAUAUUACCAAUCUCACUUUGUCCUACGGCUGCCACGAAGACGAUUCGGAUUCUUGGCCCUGUGAGUCCGAAGCUGGUGCAAAGAGUAGCCCUCCAAACAUGGGAUCCUUCUACAUGGAAAGUACAGACCCAGUCCAUGACAACCACAUGAGUGUCCAGCCGUUAGCAGCGUGCAAUUAAACAUGAAGAUCAUUAUAUCGGUAAUUGUUGGUUUAUAUGGAAUCGGAGUAACAUGGUUGGUUUAUGUAGAAUGGGAGUAACAUGAUUCACCCGUGUAACUUUGUUUUAUAAAAGAAAGAAUUCAACACUCACAUUAGGCUGUGUGAAGCAGACAAAGAAUGAUGGAUAUGUGCAAGCUCCUUCCUUAAAGAGGUAUUCAUUUUCCGAUGUAGAGAAAAUGACAUCCUCUUUCAAUGAUGAAAAAGGUCAAGGAGGCUAUGGCACUGUUUACAAGGGUAAGCUUCUCGACAAUCACCUUGUAGCAGUGAAACUUCUCAACACAUCUGAAAGCAGUGAACAAGAACUUAUUAAUGAAGUUGUCAGCAUUAGUACAAUAUCUCAUUUUAAUAUUGUAUUGCUACUUGUCUUCAGUAGCGAUUCAGAUUUAGGAGAAAGUUGUAGAGGACCACUCUUCAACAACACAACAUCAGCUGCUGGAAUAUCCAAUUUACUCUGCUUUUCCUGCAUUAUAUCCCUGAUUCUGUGUGCGGAUUAGAGAUUCCAACACCUCCAGCAUUGAAGGUCUCAUGUCCUUUUCACUCUGGUAGGCACCGAAAUGCCACCUCUUCUACAGCAGUUAUCAUUUCCCUGAUCGUGGAGUCUGAUUCAAAUCCUAGUGAUGAGUCUACAAGCUCGUGCAGCGCAUGGUAUUGGAUCUUGUUGAUUGCCAAGUUAGACAGGUUGAUCUCAUGCCGAUGCCUGGUGAUGUCAACAGCUGGCAAGGAGGAUAUUAGCUCAAUCAAGACCACGCCAUAGCUAAACACAUCUCUCUGAGCUGGUAGCAUUGGUGGUAAUAGGGAUCAACAUACCCAGGUGUCCCUUGUGAAGGUGUGGAAACGUGAGUGACAUCUGUUGGAAAGAGAUGCGAAAGUCCAAAAUCUGCAACUUUGACGGAAAAAUUAUUUUAUAGGAGGAUGUUGUUGGUUUUUACAUCACGGUGGAUGAUUUCAGUGGCAUGAAGAUAUGCCAAUGCACUUGCAGUCUCAAUUGCAAUCUUCAGUCGGAUAGGCCAUGGAAGUGCACCAGGCUUAGCACGUUCACCAUGAAGAUGAUGUUGAUGCUGACUAUUACAGUGGACUCCAGUAGUGAUGGAAACAGCAGUGGUGAACCUGAAAAAUGCUUAAAAUUUACUAAGAAGCAUCGUAGCCCGCAUCAUAAAGGAAAUGAGGUUUCUUUUGGAAUGAGUUGUUUGUCUGUAAGUGAUGAAAACAGUACCGUAUAAGAAAGCAUUUCCAGUGAUGCUGGAGGUUCUCCAGGUCAAUUGUUGUUUGAGUUUCUUGAGCGUAAUACCCCUUAUAGCCGCGAUCCUUUAGCUGACAAGCUAGUUAUUGCCAUCACAUAUUCUAUUUUAUUAAGUUUUCGGCUUGACUACUGUAUUACUGCCUUAUUCAUCUGUUGCAUGGUAAGGAUAUUGCGAUCUCUAUGGUACAACCGUUUAUUUCUUACAAACAUGCUUUUUCUUUCAUGAAAAUUUUGCAGAAUACCAACUGGCCCAACAUUAAAAGAUUUGGAUGCUUGCCUUCUAACUUAUCAUUGCCUUUCCACUCCUAUGAAAGCUUACCAGAAACGACACCCACCGAGGUUGGAAGACCAAGUGUGGCGGCUAGGAAAGAUGGAGGUUUCCACAAGAAGUUGGCUUGAAGGCAUUAACACAGUGCACGAUCCUGGAAAACUCAGAGCAAUUUUAGAGGCGAGAAUGUCAGAUAAAAUGUGGGAAAUGACAAUAAAACAUGCGAGAGAAUGUUUAGAUUUCUGUAUUUAAGUUAUUUAAUAUAAAAAAUAUGUCUAAAUGUAUAUACCUAUUAAAUAAAAUAAGAAACCAUUCUUGUCGGCUACUUAAAACUUGAGUUGGAUAAAGCAGCCAAAUUAAUAUCCAUCGCCCUCUCCCUGUGCCACUGUCAAGAAAACGAGCAGUUCUUGAACUGCAGUCAACCUUUCGAAUGCGGAACAAGACAGGACAAUGUCGGGUGUCCUUUCUGGGAAAACAACAAGCCAAAGUUCUGCGGGCUCGAGGGGUACGAGGUCAAGUGCCUGUUAAACCAGCGGACUGUCAUGGAUGCGAGGAUCAAAGGUUUUGAGUUCUUAACGUUGAUCGUUCUCUUCAAGUAUUAAGCAUUUCAAGAAUGGACCUCGCAGAUGAUGUUUGUAACCCAGAAAUAUUGCUCAACACUACUUCAGCUUUGAAUCACACUCGCUUUCGUUUCCCUUCUGAUAUUCACAAUCUCAGUUGUCCUACGGCUGCGAUGAAGACCAUCCGAAUUCUCGGCUCUGUACGUCCGGAACUGGUGUAAGGAGAAGACAUUUUUUAUCUGUAACGAGCAAUUCCCAGACGAUUCACCUCCAAACAUGGGAUCCUGCAACCCGCAAAUCAUAGUCCCAGUCCCUUCCUCGGGCCUUAAAGAUCUUUUUGAGAAUAGAAUUGGACUGCAAGAGGCAAUUAGAAGAGGGUUUAAUGUAGAAUAUGUUUAUCCGAAAGAGACCUGCUCUGCUUGCGAGUGAUCCAAUGGAUUCUGCGGCAGCAACGACGACCAAAACUUCGUCUGUUUCUGUCCCGGUGGACCUCAACCAGAUAGGUGUCCAGGCGGUACGUACACUCACCAUCUUCUUUCUAAUUCUUCUUGGAUUACUCCAUGAGAAAAACUGUCUCCAUUUCUUCUUUGCGAAAGAAUUUCAUGGUUAAGCUAUGUUAUACAUAGUUCAUAGUUGCAGAACCAGAAAGCUUAAUACAUAUGACGUUUUGCUUCAAGUAUCCAGAAUCUGAUGCACGCCAUUCUCAGGAUUUUGGUAGAAAUCGAAGUUUAGACAAUUCCCAAUCAGGGCAGAACACAUUAACAUCCCAGAUCAAAUAAUAGCGCAGAUUUUAGGGGUUAGGAAUUUUACUUCAUACUCAGAAAACCUUACUACAAAUCAUUGCAUGAAUCGGAGUUUCCAGAUUUUUGGAAUCAGGAAAUCGAUGAUUUCAGUAGUUACCAAUUUCUCUUCGUCUUCUGUUGAUAUUUUAGCUUCGUUGAUGGGUCAAGGUACAUUUUAUGAUUAAGGCAA